GAUGAAGAACGUAGCGAAAUGCGAUACUUGGUGUGAAUUGCAGAAUCCCGCGAAUCAUCGAGUUUUUGAACGCAAGUUGCGCCCGAAGCCAUUCGGCCGAGGGCACGUCUGCCUGGGUGUCACGCAUCGUUGCCCCCCCACACUCCGGUUCGGGCGGGGCGGAAGUUGGCCUCCCGUGCGUGCCUGCGCGCGCGGUUAGCCCAAAAGCGAGUCCUCGGCGACGAGCGCCACGACAAUCGGUGGUUUUUUUACCCUCGUUCCUCGUCGUGCGUGUCCCGUCGCCCGAACGCGCUCUUGCGACCCUCACGCGUCGCCUCGGCGGCGCUCCCAACGCGACCCCAGGUCAGGCGGGACUACCCGCUGAGUUUAAGCAUAUCAAUAAGCGGAGGA
rnacentral:misc_RNA from 1 species